rnacentral:rRNA from 1 species
UAAUACGGAGGAUCCGAGCGUUAUCCGGAUUUAUUGGGUUUAAAGGGAGCGUAGAUGGAUGUUUAAGUCAGUUGUGAAAGUUUGCGGCUCAACCGUAAAAUUGCAGUUGAUACUGGAUAUCUUGAGUGCAGUUGAGGCAGGCGGAAUUCGUGGUGUAGCGGUGAAAUGCUUAGAUAUCACGAAGAACUCCGAUUGCGAAGGCAGCCUGCUAAGCUGCAACUGACAUUGAGGCUCGAAAGUGUGGGUAUCAAACAGGAUUAGAUACCCUGGUAGUCCACACGGUAAACGAUGAAUACUCGCUGUUUGCGAUAUACUGCAAGCGGCCAAGCGAAAGCGUUAAGUAUUCCACCUGGGGAGUACGCCGGCAACGGUGAAACUCAAAGGAAUUGACGGGGGCCCGCACAAGCGGAGGAACAUGUGGUUUAAUUCGAUGAUACGCGAGGAACCUUACCCGGGCUUGAAUUGCAGAGGAAGGAUUUGGAGACAAUGACGCCCUUCGGGGCCUCUGUGAAGGUGCUGCAUGGUUGUCGUCAGCUCGUGCCGUGAGGUGUCGGCUUAAGUGCCAUAACGAGCGCAACCCUUGUUGUCAGUUACUAACAGGUUCCGCUGAGGACUCUGACAAGACUGCCAUCGUAAGAUGUGAGGAAGGUGGGGAUGACGUCAAAUCAGCACGGCCCUUACGUCCGGGGCUACACACGUGUUACAAUGGGGGGUACAGAGGGCCGCUACCACGCGAGUGGAUGCCAAUCCCCAAAACCUCUCUCAGUUCGGACUGGAGUCUGCAACCCGACUCCACGAAGCUGGAUUCGCUAGUAAUCGCGCAUCAGCCACGGCGCGGUGAAUACGUUCCCGGGCCUUGUACACACCGCCCGUCAAGCCAUGGGAGCCGGGGGUACCUGAAGUGCGUAACCGCGAGGAGCGCCCUAGGGUAAAACUGGUGACUGGGGCUAAGUCGUAACAAGGUAGCCGUACCGGAAGGUGCGGCUG